AAAUCCCAAACCCUCCUAAUUCCUCCUCCUUCACGUGAAACCAACCUCCUCCCUCUCCUCCUUGCAGCCCCCUCUCCGCCUGCGUCAACCACCAUCAACAGCCGCCGCCGCGACCACCCUUCCACCUGCACGCCGCCGUCGCCACCACCGCGCGCACCACCGCCCCAUUGCCGCGCGCACCACCGCCCCAUUGCCGCCGCGCCGCCGCGCCGCUGAACCACCUCCGGCCAGCCUUCUUUCCUUCUCUCUUUUGGCGGAGAAUUCUUUGUGGGCGACUUUUGAAAGUGUUAAAGUGGCCUAUCAGUUUGUUUACACAAGUCUCUAAGGACCAAUAAGCGUUGCCCAUCUACAGGUUUGAAGAUGAUGCAUCAUUGGGAUCGGGAUUAGAGAGCUUGUAGUUCUAUUCGUUUAAUUAAGUGAUUUAAUUUGUUAACUUGGAUUUGAAAUUUGUCGUACUAUUCGUAUUUCCUUAAUUCAGUUAAUUGGUUUGGACCUAAUAUGUAAUAGAUUAUUUAUGAACCUAAAAGUUAGUUUUAUGUUUUCCGCUGCAAAAUUCUGAAUAAGCCGUA